rnacentral:rRNA from 1 species
CCUACGGGAUGCUGCAGUGGGGGAUAUUGGACAAUGGGGGGAACCCUGAUCCAGCGACGCCGCGUGAGUGAAGAAGUAUUUCGGUAUGUAAAGCUCUGUCAGCAGGGAAGAAAGACAUGACGGUACCUGACCAAGACUCCCCGGCUAACUACGUGCCAGCAGCCGCGGUAAUACGUAGGGGGCAAGCGUUAUCCGGAAUUACUGGGUGUAAAGGGGGCGUAGACGGUUAAGUAAGUCUGGAGUGAAAGGCCGGGGCCCAACCCCGGGACUGCUCUGGAAACUAUUGAACUUGAGUGCAGGAGAGGUAAGCGGAAGUCCUAGUGUAGCGGUGAAAUGCGUAGAUAUUAGGAGGAACACCAGUGGCGAAGGCGGCUUACUGGACUGUAACUGACGUUGAGGCUCGAAAGCGUGGGGAGCAAACAGGAUUAGAUACCCUGGUAGUC